UCGAACGAAGGUUUUCGCCCUUAGUGGCCGCACGGGUGCGUAACGCGUGGGAAUCUGCCUUCUGGUACGGAAUAACUCAGGGAAACUUGAGCUAAUACCGUAUAAUGACUUCGGUCCAAAGAUUUAUCGCCUGAGGAUGAGCCCGCGUCGGAUUAGCUAGUUGGUGAGGUAAAGGCUCACCAAGGCGACGAUCCGUAGCUGGUCUGAGAGGAUGAUCAGCCACACUGGGACUGAGACACGGCCCAGACUCCUACGGGAGGCAGCAGUGGGGAAUAUUGGACAAUGGGCGCAAGCCUGAUCCAGCAAUGCCGCGUGAGUGAUGAAGGCCUUAGGGUUGUAAAGCUCUUUUACCCGGGAUGAUAAUGACAGUACCGGGAGAAU
rnacentral:rRNA from 1 species